AUACGUAGGGGGCGAGCGUUGUCCGGAAUGAUUGGGCGUAAAGGGCGCGUAGGCGGCCCGGUAAGUCUGGAGUGAAAGUCCUGCUUUCAAGGUGGGAAUUGCUUUGGAGACUGGUUGGCUUGAGUGCGGAAGAGGUAAGUGGAAUUCCCAGUGUAGCGGUGAAAUGCGUAGAGAUUGGGAGGAACACCAGUGGCGAAGGCGACUUACUGGGCCGUAACUGACGCUGAGGCGCGAAAGCGUGGGGAGCGAACAGGAUUAGAUACCCUGGAAGUCACGUGGUAAACGAUGAAUGCUAGGUGUAGGGGGUAUCGACCCCUCCUGUGCCGGAGUGAACACAAUAAGCAUUCCGCCUGGGGAGUACGGCCGCAAGGUUGAAACUCAAAUGAAUUGACGGG
rnacentral:rRNA from 1 species